GAAAAAAGUCUCUUCUCUUUCAGAUGUAUGAACUUCUUUGCAAAGUGAUCUGAGGUAUCACUAGUGAGAUUAGCUAACAGCUGCAAAAUGGAACUGUUUUGCUAUGGAUAGGUGAUAACAGAAAAUAUCGCAGUCAGUCAGCAUUAUACUCAUUAGUAAGGGGCAAGCAAAUGAAACAGGCUGAAGGUGCUGCUAUUUGGAAAACAACAGCUGUAGAGCUGUUGAUUGUUGGCAAGGAACACAACUGCCAUCCCCGUAUUCAGCAGUCUCCCUCCAUAGAAACUGUUGACCAGAGUCGUCUGCACUUGCCUUGAGAAAACUAAUGACCAGGAUGGCUGUGUGCAAUUGCACCGUUGAUUUAUGAGUAAG
ensembl:lncRNA